rnacentral:rRNA from 1 species
GACGAACGCUGGCGGCGUGCUUAACACAUGCCAGUCGAACGAUGAAGCCCAGCUUGCUGGGUGGAUUCGUGGCGAACGGGUGAGUAACACGCGAGUAACCUGCCCUUGACACUGGGAUAAAACUGGGAAACUCGGUCUCAUACUCGAUAUGACUUCUCAUCGCAUGGUGGGGGGGGGAAAGAUUUAUUGGUCUUGGAUGGACUCGCGGCCUAUCAGCUUGUUGGUGAGGUAAUGGCUCACCAAGGCGACGACGGGUAGCCGGCCUGAGAGGGUGACCGGCCACACUGGGACUGAGACACGGCCCAGACUCCUACGGGAGGCAGCAGUGGGGAAUAUUGCACAAUGGGCGGAAGCCUGAUGCAGCGACGCCGCGUGAGGGAUGACGGCCUUCGGGUUGUAAACCUCUUUCAGUAGGGAAGAAGCGAGAGUGACGGUACCUGCAGAAGAAGCGCCGGCUAACUACGUG